ACUGGCAGGCUAGAGUCUUGUAGAGGGGGGUAGAAUUCCAGGUGUAGCGGUGAAAUGCGUAGAGAUCUGGAGGAAUACCGGUGGCGAAGGCGGCCCCCUGGACAAAGACUGACGCUCAGGUGCGAAAGCGUGGGGAGCAAACAGGAUUAGAUACCCUGGUAGUCCACGCCGUAAACGAUGUCGAUUUGGAGGUUGUGCCCUUGAGGCGUGGCUUCCGGAGCUAACGCGUUAAAUCGACCGCCUGGGGAGUACGGCCGCAAGGUUAAAACUCAAAUGAAUUGACGGGGGCCCGCACAAGCGGUGGAGCAUGUGGUUUAAUUCGAUGCAACGCGAAGAACCUUACCUGGUCUUGACAUCCACAGAACUUUCCAGAGAUGGAUUGGUGCCUUCGGGAACUGUGAGACAGGUGCUGCAUGGCUGUCGUCAGCUCGUGUUGUGAAAUGUUGGGUUAAGUCCCGCAACGAGCGCAACCCUUAUCCUUUGU
rnacentral:rRNA from 1 species